rnacentral:rRNA from 1 species
CUGAUUAGCUUGUUGGCGGGGUAACGGCCCACCAAGGCAACGAUCAGUAGGGGUUCUGAGAGGAAGGUCCCCCACAUUGGAACUGAGACACGGUCCAAACUCCUACGGGAGGCAGCAGUGAGGAAUAUUGGUCAAUGGGCGAGAGCCUGAACCAGCCAAGUAGCGUGCAGGAAGACGGCCCUAUGGGUUGUAAACUGCUUUUAUAAGGGAAUAAAGUUAGUCUCGUGAGACUUUUUGCAUGUACCUUAUGAAUAAGGACCGGCUAAUUCCGUGCCAGCAGCCGCGGUAAUACGGAAGGUCCGGGCGUUAUCCGGAUUUAUUGGGUUUAAAGGGAGCGUAGGCCGGAGAUUAAGCGUGUUGUGAAAUGUAGACGCUCAACGUCUGCACUGCAGCGCGAACUGGUUUCCUUGAGUACGCACAAAGUGGGCGGAAUUCGUGGUGUAGCGGUGAAAUGCUUAGAUAUCACGAAGAACUCCGAUUGCGAAGGCAGCUCACUGGAGCGCAACUGACGCUGAAGCUCGAAAGUGCGGGUAUCGAACAGGAUUAGAUACCCUGGUAGUCCGCACGGUAAACGAUGGAUGCCCGCUGUUGGUCUGGACAGGUCAGCGGCCAAGCGAAAGCAUUAAGCAUCCCACCUGGGGAGUACGCCGGCAACGGUGAAACUCAAAGGAAUUGACGGGGGCCCGCACAAGCGGAGGAACAUGUGGUUUAAUUCGAUGAUACGCGAGGAACCUUACCCGGGCUUGAAUUGCAGAGGAAGGAUUUGGAGACAAUGACGCCCUUCGGGGUCUCUGUGAAGGUGCUGCAUGGUUGUCGUCAGCUCGUGCCGCGAGGUGUCGGCUUAAGUGCCAUAACGAGCGCAACCCCUCUCCUUAGUUGCCAUCAGGUUAAGCUGGGCACUCUGGGGACACUGCCACCGUAAGGUGUGAGGAAGGUGGGGAUGACGUCAAAUCAGCACGGCCCUUACGUCCGGGGCUACACACGUGUUACAAUGGCAGGUACAGAGAGACGGUUGUACGUAAGUACGAUCAAAUCCUUAAAGCCUGUCUCAGUUCGGACUGGGGUCUGCAACCCGACCCCACGAAGCUGGAUUCGCUAGUAAUCGCGCAUCAGCCAUGGCGCGGUGAAUACGUUCCCGGGCCUUGUACACACCGCCCGUCAAGCCAUGAAAGCCGGGGGCGCCUAAAGUCCGUGACCGUAAGGAGCGGCCUAGGGCGAAACUGGUAAUUGGGGCUAAGUCGGAACAAGGUA